rnacentral:rRNA from 1 species
CUCAAUGGGCGAGAGCCUGAACCAGCCAAGUCGCGUGAAGGAAGAAGGUCCUAUGGAUUGUAAACUUCUUUUGUAAGGGAAU